rnacentral:tRNA from 1 species
GUGAGUAUAGCUUAGUGGUAGAGUACAUGCUUUGCAUGUGUGAGGUCCUGGGUUCAAUCCCCAGUACCUUCA